UGACAGUUUUCUUCGAUUUUAUCGUUCACACUACGGUUGCAGACGAUAAUAGGAGUUAUCCACAUUUGACAGCGAUAGAUGACAAUCGACAAUUUGCAUAACAUGGUCGUCGGAUAAUUUGACACAUUAUCCCAUUUUGGCAGUUCAAUAUAGUUAAUUUUAUCUACGUGCUUCUUAGGUCACGACAAGCGUUGUCGUGGAUGCAAAGCUCAUGAAAAAACCUAUGUUAAGGUAUAAAUUAUCAGUAAGUAUCCGUUUUUCUAUGAUUUUAUUGAGUGUUAGUUAUUGAGUGUUAGUUAGUUAGUUAGUAGUGUAACUCCUCUGGAGUUGCAGGUGUACAUAGGCUACGGAGACUGCUUACCAUCAGGCGGGCCGUAUGCUUGUUUGCCACCGACGUAGCAAAAAAAAAAAAGUUCCGCUGCAUAUAAUAUUGUCAAUAUUUUCUUUGCAGGGAUGUCGAGAUUUUUUUUCUUCCAGCUCGCAACUGCUGCAGAGGAAAAAGAAAGAAGAAGGAUUCAGCGACGAUCUUUGAGGGACGCUGCAAACCCCUUUGAUAUGCCGGACGAAGAGUUCCGUCAUAUAUACAGAGUACGAAAGGAGUUAGUGUUAUAUAUUUGUGAAGAACUCAACGCCGACCUCCAGCCUCACAAGGGUGAUGGAUUGCCAUCUCACCUUAAGGUAAAGCUAUAAUAUUGCAGUGUUGCUCAUAUAGUACCAAAAGUUUGUAUGUUAAGAUACCGCACAAUCACACAAAAUUAGCUGAUACAAAUAUUUGGGUGAAAUUGUUGUUUAUAACAUAACAGAGGUGCUACAUUAUACCUUAAAAUUUAAAUAUUUCUUAAGCAAAAAAAUUUACUUAAAUAAUUAAGCUGUGUACAACUACUUAAAUAAGAUUCUAACAGCAUUACAUCUGCUGGCUGAUGGCAAUUAUCAACACGGGACUGGUCAGGAUCAUGGUUUAUCUAUUGGUCAGACGACUGUAAGCCACAGUAUCUCGAACAAUUUGUAGAUGCUGUGAACAGAAGGUAUGUUUAUUGGACCACUGAACUACUAGGCAUCAAAAACUGUGAGAGUAUACUAGGGCUAUCUUAGUAGUUUUUACUUUUUUGAAUAAGCAUCAGUGUUGAUGUAUUGUGUAAUGAGAUAGGUAUUGUUUGAUAGUUAUGUUCAGGUAGUUAGUUACAUUGGAUACAUAAUCUGGAAUUGCAAUACUAGCUAGGUUUGACUAAGGUUAAGUUCUAAAACGUGCCAUCUAAAAUAUGCUCCUUUUUACAGACUUAAAGACCAAUGGAUAAUAGUUUUUCCUGGAACUGAUCGGUCCCGACGAUCAGUUGCCUCAGGAUUUGAGGAUGCAUAUGGUCUGCCAAAUAUCUUGGGUGUAGUAGACUGCACUCAAGUGAAAAUAUUUCCCACCUGUGCCACACGGAGUGCAAUAUCUGAAUCGGAAAGGCGUUCACGCUCUUAAUGUACAGCUAAUUGCAGAUGUCAACUGUAAGAUCUUGGCAGUAAACACUUUCAUAUUUAACAAUUCGUCCAUUUAGGAUGAAUUAAGAAGAUUGUACAAUGGCCACAUUGGGGAGUAUUUCCUUCUGGGUAAGCAGAAAAUUGUGUAUCUGUACCUAGUGUAAAUUUAUUCGAUGGGGAGACGUGACGUACGCGUUUGCGUUAACUGUCAUUUUGUAUGGAAUUUUGAGUUUCCAAAACAUCCCGCUUGGCGCGCUGUUUCUAAAUCCCUUAGCACCACUUGCACCAUUUCACUAACUCGGGGUUAACUGGUUAACCCUGGAGUUACCAUGUUACCAGUACAAUUUCACAUUGGGUUAACGGUUUAACCGGUUAACCCCGGGUUAUUGGAAUGGGGCAAGUGCAUGUUAGUAAAUGUACUAAGAUCACGACCACAGAAUAAAUAGUUCAUGACUAAGUUAAUAUACCUAUCAUAAUGUAAAUAACCGGCCAAGAGCAUGUCGGGCCACGCUCAGUGUAGGGUUCCGUAGUUACUCUUCCGUCACAAUAAGCUAAACUGGAGCUUAAAGUGUAGUAAAUGGUACCUUUCACCCGAGUUAAACAAAUAGGCAAAUUUGCAUAAUCAGUACCUAAUUAAAGAAGUCUUUUUACUAUGAAGGGAAAACUUUUUGCGAUAACUCAAAAACAGCUAAACUGAUCAUGUCCGCUAUAGUUUUCAUUUAAUGUCUUUCUUAAGCUCUACUUCCACGAUUUUUUUCAUAUUUUUUGGACCUAUGGUUCAAAAGUUAGAGGGGGGGGGGACACAUUUUUUUUUUCUUUCGGAGCGAUUAUCUCCGAAUAUAUUCACUUUAUCAAAAAAUGUUUCUUAAAAACCCCUAUUAGUUUUGAAAGACCUUUCCAACGAUACCCCACACUUUAGGGUUGAAGCGAAAAAAAAAAUUCACCCCCACUUUACGUGUAGGGGAGGUACCCUAAAAAAAAUUAAAAUUUUAGAUUUUAUUGUACGACUUUGUCGGCUUUAUUGAUUUAUAUAUCCAUGCCAAAUUUCAGCUUUCUAACACUAACGACCACGGAGCAAAGCCUCGGACAGACAGACAGACAGACAGACAGACAGACAGACAGACAGACGGACAUGGCGAAACUAUAAGGGUUCCGUUUUAUGCCAUUUGGCUACGGAACCCUAAAAAGGCAUAAGCAAGGGGGAAGUUUCGUUAGUUGUUCAGAUGAUUAAGUAUUAUGUAACCAAAAAAUAAUAAUUUCAGGUGACUCGGGGUAUGCUCUUGAGCCAUGGCUCAUGACGCCAGUGCUGAAUCCUGCCCCGGGAAGCCCAGAAGCAAGGUAGGUACACGGUCUGGCACUGUCGCGUGCGCAACACGAUCAAGCGUACCAAUGGGUACCUCAAAAACGUAUUCCGGUGCCUGGGCCACGACCGCGUCUUACACUACAGCCCGACGAAGGCAUCGUCAAUAAUAAAUGCAUGUUGCGUAGUAUACAACAUAAUGCAACAUUAUAGAAAUGUUCCCGAGGAAAUCGUAGGAGAUAUUGAUGAAGACGCUCCUCAAGAACUUCCUCAUCGUCAUGCGCAAAACGGACUACUAUUAAGAGUGGCGCAGGAAAAGCGUGCGCGUCUAAUAAAUACAUAUUUUGCUUA